CAGUCGCCGCGGUAAUACGUAGGUGGCAAGCGUUGUCCGGAAUUAUUGGGCGUAAAGGGCUCGCAGGCGGUUUCUUAAGUCUGAUGUGAAAGCCCCCGGCUCAACCGGGGAGGGUCAUUGGAAACUGGGAAACUUGAGUGCAGAAGAGGAGAGUGGAAUUCCACGUGUAGCGGUGAAAUGCAUAGAGAUGUGGAGGAACACCAGUGGCGAAGGCGACUCUCUGGUCUGUAACUGACGCUGAGGAGCGAAAGCGUGGGGAGCGAACAGGAUUAGAUACCCGCGUAGUCCCUGUCUCUUAUAC
rnacentral:rRNA from 1 species